GGCUCAGUGGUCUAGUAGUAUGAUUCUCGCUUCGGGUUAUUCCAGGCUGUGGCAGCCGAAGAUGCGAGAGGUCCCGGGUUCAAUUCCCGGCUGAGCCC